rnacentral:rRNA from 1 species
UCCUGGCUCAGGAUGAACGCUGGCGGCGUGCCUAACACAUGCAAGUCGAGCGGAGAUAAGUGAAGCCUAGCGAUUCUUAUCUUAGCGGCGGAUGGGUGAGUAACACGUGGGUAACCUGCCCUGUACUGGGGAAUAACAGCUGGAAACGGCUGUUAAUGCCGCAUAUGCGCACGGAGCCGCAUGACUCCGGGCGGAAAGAUUUAUCGGUACAGGAUGGGCCCGCGCCGGAUUAACUAGUUGGCGGGGUAACGGCCCACCAAGGUGAUGAUCCGUAGCCGACCUGAGAGGGUGACCGGCCACAUUGGGACUGAGACACGGCCCAAACUCCUACGGGAGGCAGCAGUGGGGGAUAUUGCACAAUGGGGGAAACCCUGAUGCAGCGACGCCGCGUGAAGGAUGACGUAUUUCGGUAUGUAAACUUCUAUCAGCGGGGAAGAAGAUGACGGUACCCGACUAAGAAGCCCCGGCUAACUACGUGCCAGCCGCGGC